GAGUUGGAAACAACCUAAAUGGUCCUCAGCUGAUGAGUGCAUAGAGAAAACGCAGCACAUAGUCACAAUGGAAUCUCACUCAGCUAUAACAAGAUGAAAUUGGCAGGCUGUCUGCAAGUAAAGAACACUGAACAUAAAUGUUACAUGAAAGACAAUUUCUCCGAAGAGAAGUAAGGUGAGAAACCUACUGAAGAAAACAGAAGACCUCUGUCCUUGAAGAAGCACAGCAACCCAAAGCUGAAAAUAAUCGGAGCUGGAAGGAUGAAGACAUCAGACCUCCAUUUGUGCUUUCAUGUCCAAAGAAACUAUUCACUUAGUAAUUUCACAAUUCUCAUUAAGUCCCUACUUGGAGCCAACCCAGAUGACUCUAUGGUGUGGAAAUAUAAGCAGUUGUUUAUCUUUGUGAUGGAUCAUUUGUGAUAACAAAUAAUGUCUUACUAGGGACCAAAAGCCAGAGACCUCCUUUCUCAGAUUUAGAAGUGUUAGGACUUUGGGAGAUGAUACAGAGGAAGCAGGGUUCAAAGGUGAGCCUCAACUGAAAAGAUUAAGGCAGGAGUUUUCCAGUCUCAAGUGGGAUCUAAUAGUAUCUAAUAGAGAUGACCAACUAUUUUCCAUUUUACUGUAGCUGAAUCUCUUUUAAAUGGGCCUACUCCAAUGCAUGUGGAUACAAAGUAAGAGAGAGAACUCUUAGGAUACAGUUAAAUAAUAUUUAAGUGGGUAAUAACGGAAUUUUCUCUGUAUUUUUCUAAAUACACAACAAUCCUUUCGGAUCUCUAGUUCACCAGGGCCUCUUUAGACAGAGGAUAUUAUUCAUGUCACUGUUCCUCUUCCACCUCUAACCUCUACCACUGCUCCUUUUCCACCCCUAUGCUCCACCAUGUUCCUUCUAAGAGAAUCUGUCCAAAAGAGCUAUGAUAUAGGAAUAUUCUUCAAAUUAUCAAAUUGUAAAAUAGCCCAUCACGUGAGCAAAAAGAAAAGCAUUUUUCAGUGGUCUUCUUUUGGGUACAUAACUUCUUACUGAAGGACACUUUAUCAAGGUUGUGGUGGUUUGAAUAUGCUUGGCCCAGGGAAUGACACUAUUAAGACGUGUGGUCUUGUUGGAGUAGGUUUGGCUUUGUUGGAGAAAGUGUGCCACUGUGGGGCUGGGCAAUGUGACUCUCCUCCUAACCACAUGGGAGCCAGUUGUUUCCUAGUGGCCUUAAGAUGAAGAUAUAAAACUCUUAGCUCCUCUUGCCCCAUUCCUGCCUGGAUGCCACCAUGUUCCUGCCUUGAUAAUAAUGGACUGAGCCUCUGAACCUGUAAGCUAGCCCCAAUUAAAUGUUUUCCUUAUAAGAGUUGCCUUGGUAAUGCUAUCUGUUCACAGCAGUAAAACUCUAACUAAGACAAAGGUCCCAAAAUUCUAGUUGAUAUAUGAGGGGUUGGGGAAUGCUAAAUUAAAAUACUAUAAAUAUUA